CAGAAAUGUCAAACCACUUGAUUUAACGCAAGAUGGAUUCUCUUUUUCACUUUUUAGUAAAAUUGCUUUAAUGUAGGAUAUAUUUUAUUUAUAUUUUUAUAGAAGUUUGUAAAUUCUUUAUGCGACACCAUGGACAUAAUGGCCUUUCUAGAAGAAUUCAUGGAAAGUGCAUUGGUGACUUGGGUACAGCUCUUUGAUGGUGUAGUGGACAGGGAGGACAACGUCAUGCUCUACAACCAGUACAUGGACGUGAACUACAAGUCCCAGAAUUCCCAUGACCGCUACCUGAGGCUGACCAAUGGGAUCUUUCUCAACGAGGUCAUGAGGAUCAUGUAUUAUAGCUGGUGAAAUACUGGGUUGCAGGUGAGCCCUCACCUCUCUGCCAAGAGGUGCCUUUCACCUCCGUCUGUCUGUCUGUCUGUCUGUCUGUCUGUCUGUCUGUCUGUCU